rnacentral:rRNA from 1 species
UAGGGAAUCUUCGGCAAUGGGGGCAACCCUGACCGAGCAACGCCGCGUGAGUGAAGAAGGUUUUCGGAUCGUAAAGCUCUGUUGUAAGAGAAGAACGUGUGUGAGAGUGGAAAGUUCACACAGUGACGGUAACUUACCAGAAAGGGACGGCUAACUACGUGCCAGCAGCCGCGGUAAUACGUAGGUCCCGAGCGUUGUCCGGAUUUAUUGGGCGUAAAGCGAGCGCAGGCGGUUUAAUAAGUCUGAAGUUAAAAGCAGUGGCUUAACCAUUGUUCGCUUUGGAAACUGUUAAGCUUGAGUGCAGAAGGGGAGAGUGGAAUUCCAUGUGUAGCGGUGAAAUGCGUAGAUAUAUGGAGGAACACCGGUGGCGAAAGCGGCUCUCUGGUCUGUAACUGACGCUGAGGCUCGAAAGCGUGGGGAGCAAACAGG